GGGGAUGCAGGUUCGUCCAACCAGACGAAAUGGUGGUUUGCGAUUUCUAUUGAUUUUGCAAACGCAGGUUCAACUCCUGCCAUCCCUACCA
rnacentral:tRNA from 1 species